AUUGAACGCUGGCGGCAUGCCUAACACAUGCAAGUCGAGCGAGCGGCGGACGGGUGCGUAAUGUCUGGGAAACUGCCUGAAGGCGGGGGAUAACUACUGGAAACGGUAGCUAAUACCGCAUACCAUCAGCUGUGCCCAGAUGGGAUUAGCUAGUAGGUGGGGUAACGGCUCACCUAGGCGACGAUCCCUAGCUGGUCUGAGAGGGUGACCAGCCACCAUGGAACUGAGACACGGUCCAGGCUCCGUAGGGAGGGAGCAGUGGGGAAUAUUGCACAAUGGGACGAAGCCUGAUGCAGCCAUGCCGCGUGUGUGAAGAAGGGCUUCGGGUUGUAAAGCACUUUCAGCGGGGGGGCGUUACCCGCAGAAGAAGCACCGGCUAACUCCGGGGCAGCAGCCGCGGUAAUAC
rnacentral:rRNA from 1 species